CACGUAGGGGGCGAGCGUUGUCCGGAUUUAUUGGGCGUAAAGAGCUCGUAGGCGGCUCAGUAAGUCGGGUGUGAAACCUCCAGGCUCAACCUGGAGACGCCACCUGAUACUGCUGUGGCUGGAGUCCGGUAGGGGAGCGUGGAAUUCCUGGUGUAGCGGUGAAAUGCGCAGAUAUCAGGAGGAACACCGGUGGCGAAGGCGCACAUCUGGCCCGAUACUGACGCUGAGGCGCGAAAGCUAGGGGAGCAAACGGG
rnacentral:rRNA from 1 species